CCAUUCCUUCAGGGCGGAGUGCAAGUCUCCACCGGCGGUAUAGCCCGCGAAGCCUAGAAAUCUGCAGUACAUCUAGGCCCGAUUCGGUGAAACUCCGAAGCCGACCGUGACAGUCGGGAUGGAAGAAGGAGUGA
rnacentral:ncRNA from 2 species